GACGAACGCUGGCGGCGUGCUUAACACAUGCAAGUCGAACGGAAAGGCCCUGCUUUUGUGGGGUGCUCGAGUGGCGAACGGGUGAGUAACACGUGAGUAUCCUGCCCUUGACUUUGGGAUAACUUCAGGAAACUGGGGCUAAUACCGGAUAGGAGCUCCUGCUGCAUGGUGGGGGUUGGAAAGUUUCGGCGGUUGGGGAUGGACUCGCGGCUUAUCAGCUGGUUGGUGGGGUAGUGGCUUACCAAGGCUUUGACGGGUAGCCGGCCUGAGAGGGUGACCGGCCACAUUGGGACUGAGAGACGGCCCAGACUCCUACGGGAGGCAGCAGUGGGGAAUAUUGCACAAUGGGGGGAAGCCUGAUGCAGCAACGCCGCGUGCGGGAUGACGGCCUUCGGGUUGUAAACCGCUUUCGCCUGUGACGAAGCGUGAGUGACGGUAAUGGGUAAAGAAGCACCGGCUAACUACGUG
rnacentral:rRNA from 1 species